UACGUAGGUGGCAAGCGUUGUCCGGAUUUACUGGGCGUAAAGAGCGCGCAGGCGGUUAUGCAAGACAGAGGUGAAAUCCCCGGGCUCAACCUGGGAACUGCCUUUGUGACUGCAUAGCUAGAGUACGGUAGAGGGGGAUGGAAUUCCGCGUGUAGCAGUGAAAUGCGUAGAUAUGCGGAGGAACACCGAUGGCGAAGGCAAUCCCCUGGACCUGUACUGACGCUCAUGCACGAAAGCGUGGGGAGCAAACAGG
rnacentral:rRNA from 1 species